CUGGCUACGCCAUUGCACUUAAUUCUCGAUUUCUCGCGUGUCUUGCUAAGUAGAACGCCUGAGUUUGGCUGCAAAUCCUUUCGGUGGGUAUUUGAUUACGAGAAGAGCAUGAAUCUGGGUAUAAUUUUGGGUGGAGUCAUGGAAAGGAGAAGUUGGAAUCUAGAAAAUCAGAUAUGUCAAAAGGCUCUUUCUAUGCAAAUCGUAUAUUAGAUAGACCAACAACAGAUGAGGCUCUAAUUCAAAGGUAAA